GGAGAGAUGGCUCAGUGGUUAAGAGCACUGGCUAUUCUUCCAGAGGUCCUGAGUUCAAAUCCCAGUAACCACA
rnacentral:tRNA from 1 species